CCUUGACACCUUUAUAGAAAUCGGUGAUUCUCAAUAAUGAAAAUGCAUUUUUACUUUGGCUUAUUUGUUAGUGGGCUGUAAGGUCUCAUCAGAAACAUUGCUCUGCAUUCUUCUUCUUAUCAUGCUUUAUCAAAUAAUAUUAUACAUAUCCAUCAGAGACUAUAAACUUUGGGAUUUAAUAGACUACAGUGAAAUUAAUUAUCUUCUCUCUCUUUUUCAGUGUCGAUUGCCGUCUUAUUGUUUAGCUACAUACACCACAACGGCUCUUUUAAGAGCUACAUCUUGAGAACAUCUUUGACUUUGUAAGUAUAUAUUUUAAAUGACCACUCAGUAUUUGGGUUUAGAUCAAUUACAACAUCAUGCAGCAUGUUAGUAAUGUCUUAAUGAAGACAUUAAAGGAAUACAUAAAGGAAUAAAAAAAAAUAUAUAUAUAUUAAAUGCAUGUAUGAAUGAAAUGGAAACAAAACUAGCAUCGUGCAUCUGAUUUGCCAGAUUCAUCAUAACAUCCUAAUUAAUCAAUAACCACUGAUGAAAGUGAAAACAUUUUAAUGUGUACAGACAUAUCUCACUCGUAUGCGUUCUUCUUUUUUGUCUACAGCAGCUACAUACACCACAACGGCUCUUUUAAGAGCCACAUCUUGAGAACAUCUUUGACUUUAAAGUUCUCUACAGUCAACCACACUCACUCAACAACGAUAUCCACAGUUCACACUUGAUCAAAACCAAGUACCAUGGAUUGCAAAAAACCAUCUUACUGGACAUUGCGAAGAAAAGCCAAGGCUAAGGUGGACAAACAACUCCAGUCAAUGGAAGCAUCACUACCAUCAUCAUGGAACAUGGAACAGUAUGGUGGCAUGAACAGUGACACAAGCAGCAUCGCUGAUGACAACAAUGACUUUAUGGACGGUUUGUCCCAUAUUGAUGAGCCUGAAUGUGUCACCAUGGCAAGUGCUUCACAUAGCAGUGAA